UAGGGAAUAUUGGACAAUGGGGGCAACCCUGAUCCAGCCAUGCCGCGUGAGUGAAGAAGGCCCUCGGGUUGUAAAGCUCUUUUGUCCGGAAAGAAAAGCAUUCGGUGAAUACCCGGAUGUUCUGACGGUACCGGAAGAAUAAGCACCGGCUAACUUCGUGCCAGCAGCCGCGGUAAUACGAAGGGUGCAAGCGUUACUCGGAAUUACUGGGCGUAAAGCGUGCGUAGGUGGUUGUUUAAGUCUGAUGUGAAAGCCCUGGGCUCAACCUGGGAAUGGCAUUGGAACUGGGCAGCUAGAGUGCGGUAGAGGGUAGUGGAAUUCCCGGUGUAGCAGUGAAAUGCGUAGAGAUCGGGAGGAACAUCUGUGGCGAAGGCGACUGCCUGGACCAGCACUGACACUGAGGCACGAAAGCGUGGGGAGCAAACA
rnacentral:rRNA from 1 species